rnacentral:rRNA from 1 species
AUGGAUGUAUCUAGACGUAUUUUAGUUCUAGAUAUAUCCAUAUCCGAGACAAGUAUUUCCGAACGGAUGGAGUACAAUGUUUUAAUGGGUAGGCUACAGAAAGCCUCUCAUCAGGAUGUUCCAUUAGUAUCAUUUGUCAAUAGUGCAGAUUAUGAACUAUCUAGUGAUGAAGGAGGGCUCGACAUGCAAAGUUCUUUUGACGUUCUAUCUGAAUCAAAAAGUAAAAUGCUUGAAGAUGAAAUUAUCAUCUGCUUCCAGGAGGAAUGUGGUUAG